rnacentral:rRNA from 1 species
AGCAGCCGCGGUAAUUCCAGCUCCAAUAGCGUAUAUUAAAGUUGUUGCAGUUAAAAAGCUCGUAGUUGAAUUUCGGGAUCAGUACGCUGGUCAUGCCUUUGGUAUGCACUGGUGUCACUGGUUUCUCCCUUCUGAAGAUCCGUGAUGUCAUUAAUUUGGUGUCGCGGGGAAUCAGGACUGUUACUUUGAAAAAAUUAGAGUGUUUAAAGCAAUCUCACGCUUGAAUACAUUAGCAUGGAAUAAUGAAAUAGGACGUUUGACCCUAUUUUGUUGGUUUCUAGGAUCGACGUAAUAAUUAAUAGGGAUAGUUGGGGGCAUUAGUAUUCAAUUGUCAGAGGUGAAAUUCUUGGAUUUAUUGAAGACUAACUACUGCGAAAGCAUUUGCCAAGGAUGUUUUCAUUAAUCAAGAACGAAAGUUAGGGGAUCGAAGACGAUCAGAUACCGUCGUAGUCUUAACCAUAAACUAUGCCGACUAGGGAUCGGAUGAUGUUAAUUUU